rnacentral:rRNA from 1 species
CCUACGGGAGGCAGCAGUGGGGAAUUUUGGACAAUGGGCGCAAGCCUGAUCCAGCAAUGCCGCGUGAGUGAAGAAGGCCUUCGGGUUGUAAAGCUCUUUUGUCAGGGAAGAAACGGUGUUUUCUAAUACAGAACGCUAAUGACGGUACCUGAAGAAUAAGCACCGGCUAACUACGUGCCAGCAGCCGCGGUAAUACGUAGGGUGCAAGCGUUAAUCGGAAUUACUGGGCGUAAAGCGUGCGCAGGCGGUUUUGUAAGUCUGUCGUGAAAUCCCCGGGCUCAACCUGGGAAUGGCGAUGGAGACUGCAAGGCUAGAAUCUGGCAGAGGGGGGUAGAAUUCCACGUGUAGCAGUGAAAUGCGUAGAUAUGUGGAGGAACACCGAUGGCGAAGGCAGCCCCCUGGGCUAAGAUUGACGCUCAUGCACGAAAGCGUGGGGAGCAAACAGGAUUAGAUACCCUGGUAGUCCACGCCCUAAACGAUGUCUACUAGUUGUCGGGUCUUAAUUGACUUGGUAACGCAGCUAACGCGUGAAGUAGACCGCCUGGGGAGUAACGGUCGCAAGNUUAAAACGUUCAAAUGAAUUGACGG